rnacentral:rRNA from 1 species
UACGGAGGGAGCUAGCGUUGUUCGGAAUUACUGGGCGUAAAGCGCGCGUAGGCGGCUUUGUAAGUUAGAGGUGAAAGCCUGGAGCUCAACUUCAGAAUUGCCUUUAAGACUGCAUCGCUUGAAUCCGGGGAGAGGUGAGUGGAAUUCCAGGUGUAGCGGUGAAAUGCGUAGAUAUCUGGAGGAAUACCGGUGGCGAAGGCGGCAUCCUGGACCGAGAUUGACACUGAUGAGCGAAAGCCAGGGGAGCAAACGGG